GAAGGGGUAGGGAAGUUUUACUCUGUUUCCUUUACAUUCUAUUUGUCAGUGAACAUGAUGAGAUGGAUAAAGAAUUGUCAUGAUAGGAGAAGCUGACUCUUAUUGAGUGAAAUACAGUUGUAGUCUUUGGAUUGAAUGGGUAGGGGAGCAACUUAUAUUGAUAAAUGCAUACGCAGGAAAGUUAGAAAUUACAAAAGAGAAAACUACAGGGUGGAGCCUUGUUGUGAUGGCAAGAGCCUCAUUGUCAGCCAGCUGGAAAGCCAGUGACAAACCCUCAUUGCCUCUUCUGGGAAAAGUUUGUCAAAUCUAAUGCCAUUCGACAUUGAUGAAGCCAACAUGAAGAUUUUGCCUGGAAUUAAGACUAUGGUGACAGAAGUUCUACUCAGCCAGAGCUGCCAACCAUUCAAAGCCUGGCAGUUCUCACAUUCAGCAUCAUAACAGAGGAGGCUGCAGCCCUCAGGAUCACACAGGAACGAAGAAUAAAAGAAAGAUCUGUAGUCAAGGAGGUGCAUCUCAUGGCAAGCUAAAGACUUGAUGAUUUGUGCUGUCAAGACCAGGGUAAGAAAUCACCAGAAUGGGCUUUAUUGCUCGUAGACAGUUUAAAAAUUCUCCAAAUGCUGAGAGAAGUAACUUCUGACAGGUACUCAACAUUUUAACUCAUUGAAAUGGAUGAACAAGAAUCCUUCGGAAAUUGGGAGUGACUGUGGACCAUUUCCUUUAUAGAAUCUGAAAAGCCUGCUGUAACGUAUAUGUAUGCAGUGUGAUCUUAUCAGUUGCAUUAAGAUAUUAAUAAAGGUUAUAGUUUCUGUAA